AAAUCAUAUAAUUUACUUUUCAAAAUUUUCACAAUCCUAACUCAAAAUCAAGAUGUAAUCACUAUUGGUUCCAUUAACCCAAUUUCUUAUAACUCGAUUUUCGGGAUGUGACAACUCUCCCCUCCUUAAAAGAAUUUUGUCCUCUAAAUUCCUAUUGUCACACCAAACACUUAACCAAAAUAUCUGAAACUCUUCAUUCCAAACUGACCAUCACACUACCGUUUCACAACUCUGAUUUCAAUGCAAUCUGU
rnacentral:lncRNA from 1 species